rnacentral:rRNA from 14 species
AGAAUAAGGAUCGGCUAACUCCGUGCCAGCAGCCGCGGUAAUACGGAGGAUCCAAGCGUUAUCCGGAAUCAUUGGGUUUAAAGGGUCCGCAGGCGGAUUUAUAAGUCAGUGGUGAAAGCCUACAGCUUAACUGUAGAACUGCCAUUGAUACUGUAAGUCUUGAAUUCGGUCGAAGUGGGCGGAAUAUGUCAUGUAGCGGUGAAAUGCUUAGAUAUGACAUAGAACACCGAUAGCGAAGGCAGCUCACUAGGCCUGGAUUGACGCUCAGGGACGAAAGCGUGGGGAGCGAACAGGAUUAGAUACCCUGGUAGUCCACACCGUAAACGAUGAGAGCUAGUUGUCUGGCAGCAUGCUGUUAGGUGACGCAGCUAACGCAUUAAGCUCUCCGCCUGGGGAGUACGGCCGCAAGGUUAAAACUCAAAGAAAUUGACGGGGGCCCGCACAAGCGGUGGAGCAUGU